GUGCUUGCUUCAGCAGCACAUACACUAUCAGUGGAAUGAUACAGAGAUUAGCGUGGCCCCCGUGCACGGUGACAUGCAAAUCUGUGAAGCAUUCCAUGUUUUU